GAGCAGCGGCAUUGCAGCCACCCCGGCCUCUGCUGCAGUUGCCACUCUGGAUGUGGCCAUUCGGUGGGGCCUUUCCCGGGGAGCUCAGAGGCUUCUCUGUGUGGCCGUGGGACAGCUGGAUCGGCCAUCGGACCUGGCAGAUGAUGGGAGGAACCUGUGGCUGAACAUCAGGGGCAAGGAGGCAGCCGCCCUGUCCAUGUUCCAC